GAAGACAGAGCAAGUGCACUGAUCACGUAUCAACUUUUUUAAGAAUCUGCCAAGAUUCCUGCAUGUAGAAACAAGUGCACUGACUUCCAAAAGGGUCAACAAACUUUGGAAGCACAUGCAAAAUGGUCAAGGAACGUUCAAAGGUAGUAAAAGGACUGUUGGUCAUUCUAAUUCUUCGUCUGGACAGAAGAAGCAAGUUUCUGGUAAAGAGGUUAUCCGCUUUGAGUACAAGGAGAC
rnacentral:lncRNA from 1 species